rnacentral:tRNA from 1 species
GACCUGUUAGUUCAGUGGUAGAAUAUCUGACUGUCUAUCAGAAGGUCAUGGGUUCGAGUCCCAUACAGGUCGCCA